rnacentral:rRNA from 1 species
GUGGGCUACGGGGGGCAGCAGUGGGGAAUAUUGCACAAUGGGGGAAACCCUGAUGCAGCAACGCCGCGUGAGUGAAGGAGUAUUUCGGUAUGUAAAGCUCUAUCAGUAGGGAAGAAGAAAGACGGUACCUGACUAAGAAGCCCCGUCUAACUACGUGCCAGCAGCCGCGGUAAUACGUAGGGGGCAAGCGUUAUCCGGAUUUACUGGGUGUAAAGGGAGCGUAGACGGCUGUG